CGGGCCCUUCCCGACCCCGGCUCUGAGAGAAGUUUGUGGAAUUAAGGAUUCAGAGAAGAGGACAAAAGCUGGUGAAGGGUCUGCAGUCUCACUUAAACACUGCCUGCCCCAACAUGGCAGCCAGCUGUGUCCUUAGCCACAGCUGCAGGGACGAGCAGAGACAGUGCACGACCACUAACAGUGCAUUGCCAGCAAUAGAGGUCAGUCCAAGAGGGAUCCAACUGCAAUCCUGAAGUGCACAGAGGGAGCAUACCAGUGUCUCUGGAAUCCAAGCUAAGAUGGCUCUGGAAAUGAUUAUCUGACAAGACUGUUGGUGUUGAAUUGCUGGCAUGAUGACGGUAGAUGAUUAAACUUCUCUGUCCAGAUGUACUGUACUUUACCUUUAGGCUGUACAGUGACAAUUUAAGUAGAAGCAUUAAACCUCAAGGGGAAUACAUCCAAACUUCAAAUCCACACAUUUGAUUGUCUUGACUUGCUCUAGCUAUCACGGAGUAACUUCAAUAAAUCACUUCAGAAACAGAAUGUUUUUGAAGAGGGGAAAAGGGUGAAGGACAGUAAGGAUCAGAGCUGAGAAAUAGUCUUGUGCCUGACCAUGUAAUAAAGCUUUCAGAACACAGUGAAGCAGAACUUCAGGCUUUCCCUUCCGCCAUAUAUGACACCCAACAAAAGAAAUAACAAAGAGAACAAACAACAAGCUUGCACCACAGAAUUCAUUUUGCCAACUCACAGGUAGAUAAGCUUUAGGAUUUGCAUCACCAAUGGCAGAUGAAACAUGGUGCAGUUUAGAUUCUCUAUUUCUUAAAUUCAGAGGAGCCCAGGUGAAUUGACAAGCCAAAACCCAUGAAGUUUUUCACUUUACUCCAAUAACAAAGCACCAAAGCAGAAUGAAAAAACUUUCCCAAAGAAGAAGCUAACACUGCUUUAGGUCUGAUUUCAGGUUUAUAACAAACAAACAA